rnacentral:tRNA from 1 species
GCGCCGGUUGUGUACGGCGAACAUCGCUGCCCGGAAAGCAGAAGAUGCGGGUUCGAGUCCCGCCUGGCGCA